UGGGAUAACUCCGGGAAACCGGAGCUAAUACCGGAUAGUUCCUUGAACCGCAUGGUUCAAGGAUGAAAGACGGUUUCGGCUGUCACUUACAGAUGGACCCGCGGCGCAUUAGCUAGUUGGUGGGGUAAUGGCUCACCAAGGCGACGAUGCGUAGCCGACCUGAGAGGGUGAUCGGCCACACUGGGACUGAGACACGGCCCAGACUCCUACGGGAGGCAGCAGUAGGGAAUCUUCCGCAAUGGACGAAAGUCUGACGGAGCAACGCCGCGUGAGUGAUGAAGGUUUUCGGAUCGUAAAGCUCUGUUGUUAGGGAAGAACAAGUGCGAGAGUAACUGCUCGCACCUUGACGGUACCUAACCAGAAAGCCACGGCUAACUACGUGCCAGCAGCCGCGGUAAUACGUAGGUGGCAAGCGUUGUCCGGAAUUAUUGGGCGUAAAGGGCUCGCAGGCGGUUUCUUAAGUCUGAUGUGAAAGCCCCCGGCUCAACCGGGGAGGGUCAUUGGAAACUGGGAAACUUGAGUGCAGAAGAGGAGAGUGGAAUUCCACGUGUAGCGGUGAAAUGCGUAGAGAUGUGGAGGAACACCAGUGGCGAAGGCGACUCUCUGGUCUGUAACUGACGCUGAGGAGCGAAAGCGUGGGGAGCGAACAGGAUUAGAUACCCUGGUAGUCCACGCCGUAAACGAUGAGUGCUAAGUGUUAGGGGGUUUCCGCCCCUUAGUGCUGCAGCUAACGCAUUAAGC
rnacentral:rRNA from 1 species